rnacentral:rRNA from 1 species
AGAGUUUGAUCAUGGCUCAUAAUGAACGCUGGCGGCGUGCCUAACACAUGCAAGUUGAGCGGUAAGGCCCCUUCGGGGGUACACGAGCAGCGAACGGGUGAGUAUCGCGUGGGUAACCUACCCAGAAGUAUGGGAUAGCCUCGGGAAACCGGGGGUAAUACCGCAUAAGGUUUCGACGACAUAAGUCGAUGAGAGCAAAGGCGGGGAUCCUUCGGGACCUGUCGCUUCUGGAUGGGCCCGCGUCCGAUUAGCUAGUUGGUGAGGUAAUGGCUCACCAAGGCUGCGAUCGGUAGCCGGCCUGAGAGGGUGAACGGCCACAUUGGGACUGAGACACGGCCCAGACUCCUACGGGAGGCAGCAGUGGGGAAUCUUGGGCAAUGGGGGAAACCCUGACCCAGCGACGCCGCGUGGAGGAUGACGGCCUUCGGGUUGUAAACUCCUGUCAGGUGGGAAGAAAAGCCUGUCGGCUAAUACCCGGCAGGAAUUGACGGUACCACCAAAGGAAGCCCCGGCUAACUCCGUGCCAGCA